AAUAUUGGACAAUGGGCGCAAGCCUGAUCCAGCCAUGCCGCGUGAGUGAUGAAGGCCUUAGGGUUGUAAAGCUCUUUCAGUGGGGAAGAUAAUGACGGUACCCACAGAAGAAGCCCCGGCUAACUUCGUGCCAGCAGCCGCGGUAAUACGAAGGGGGCUAGUGUUGCUCGGAAUCACUGGGCGUAAAGGGCGCGUAGGCGGCCAUUCAAGUCGGAGGUGAAAGCCCAGGGCUCAACCCUGGAAUUGCCUUCGAUACUGUUUGGCUAGAGACCGGAAGAGGUAAGUGGAACUGCGAGUGUAGAGGUGAAACUCGUAGAUAUUCGCAAGAACACCAGUGGCGAAGGCGGCUUACUGGUCCGGUUCUGACGCUGAGGCGCGAAAGCGUGGGGAGCAAAC
rnacentral:rRNA from 1 species